rnacentral:rRNA from 1 species
GCAAAACGCGAAGAACCUUACCCGGUUGUAACGUAGGAGACAGGGUGGAACAAUCCUUUCUAGCAAUGACUGCCUACGAGGUGCUGCAUGGUUGUCGUCAGCUCGUGCCGUGAGGUGUCGGCUUAAGUGCCAUAACGAGCGCAACCCUUACUUUCCAGUUACUAACAGGUAAUGCUGAGGACUCUAGUGAGACUGCCAUCGUAAGAUGCGAGGAAGGUGGGGAUGACGUCAAAUCAGCACGGCCCUUACGUCCGGGCGACACACGUGUUACAAUGGGUGUACAAAGGGCAGCUACCUGGCGACAGGAUGCCAAUCCCCAAAACCACUCUCAGUUCGGAUCGGAGUCUGCAACUCGACUCCGUGAAGCUGGAUUCGCUAGUAAUCGCGCAUCAGCCACGGCGCGGUGAAUACGUUCCCGGGUCUUGUACACACCG